AGAAUCAACGCUGGCGGCGUGCCUAACACAUGCAAGUCGAACGAGAAAGUGGAGCAAUCCAUGAGUAAAGUGGCGCACGGGUGAGUAACACGUGACUAACCUACCUUUUAGUGGGGGAUAACCUAGGGAAACCUGGGCUAAUACCGCAUAAUACCUACGGGUCAAAGCAGCAAUGCGCUGAAAGAGGGGGUCGCGGUCGAUUAGUUAGUUGGCAGGGUAAUGGCCUACCAAGACUGUGAUCGAUAUCCGGCCUGAGAGGGCGCACGGACACACUGGAACUGAAACACGGUCCAGACUCCUACGGGAGGCAGCAGUGGGGAAUUUUGCGCAAUGGGGGAAACCCUGACGCAGCAACGCCGCGUGGAGGAUGAAGUCCCUUGGGACGUAAACUCCUUUCGAUCGGGACGAUAAUGACGGUACCGGAAGAAGAAGCCCCGGCUAACUCGUGCCAGCAGCCGC
rnacentral:rRNA from 1 species